rnacentral:sRNA from 1 species
AUGAUGAACUCUCCAUUAACUUUUCAAUGUUUAAUGACAAAAGUGCUAAAGGAUUUAAAUUUCAAAAUUGCAUUGGUUUACAUCGAUGACAUUCUGAUUUUCUCAAAGAACUUUGAAGACCACCUUAAUCACCUUCAACAAGUGUUUUCAAACCUACGUGAAGCAAACCUGAAACUUAAUCCUGAAAAAUGUAAAUUCGCAACAAGAACAAUCAAGUAUCUGGGACAUGUUAUAUCAAAAGAUGGCAUCCGCGUCAAUCCUGAAAAUACAGAAAAAGUUAAGGACUUCUCAAGACCAACCACUGCAAAGCAAGUUAAAAGUUUUUUAGGAAUGGCAAACUACUAUAGGAAAUUUGUGAAAGACUAUGCCCACAUAGCAGCUCCAUUAACAAAGCUUUUAAAGAAAGAUCAAAGAUUCAAGUGGACACCAGAAUGUGAUAUUGCGUUUCAAAAUUUAAAAGACCGUUUGACAUCAGCUCCAAUUUUAUCGUUUCCUCAUUUAGACAAACCUUUCAUCUUAGCAACAGAUUCUUCAGAGUUUUCAAAUGGAUAUAUUUUAAGUCAGAUUCAAAAUGGAUUAGAACAUGUGAUUGCUUAUGGUGGUAGACAAUUAAGGGGUUCAGAACUUAAGUGGCAUAUUACUGACAAAGAAGCUUUAGCAUUAGUAGAAGGAGUUCAACAUUUUAAACAUUAUUUGGCAAAUCAAGAGUUCACAGUGUAUACAGACAAUAUUUCAGUAAAAUACCUUCAGAAAAUCAAAGAUUGUCAGGGAAGACUUGGUAGGUGGAGUUUGCUAUUACAAGGAUAUAAUUUUAAAAUUCAACAUCGCGCAGGAUCUAAAAACCCAGCAGACUGCUUAUCCAGACAAAAACAUUUAGAAAUUAACAAUAGUGCUUCUUAUGACUCUAGUGAACUUGCAGACCAUUUAGGCUCCAUAGAUAUACCGAAAGAAUAUACCGAAGUAACAUUUAUAUAUAAGGGUGAAAAUGAAGAUGCAGUUAUUUCAAGUUUACAAACCGUGACAAUUAAUGAUAUUCAAUUAACCAAUUUAGCCGAAGAACAAGAGACAUGUAGAGACUUUGCCGAUAUCAUUAAAUACAAACAGACAGGACGAGUACCACAGAAUCCAGAACUUGCAAGGGCAGUCGUAGCAGAAUCUUACAACUUUGAGUUAGAAGAUGGAAUUUUAAAACACUUCUACUCAAAACGUUGUAAGAAAGUGCCAAAAGAUGAACGACUUGUCAAACAGAUUGCAGUUCCAAGGAAUCUCCGUGAUUCAAUACUCAAAGCCUAUCAUGACUGCAUUCUGGGAGGAGGACAUCAAGGAUUUGAACGAACAUAUGCUGCAAUUAGAAACAAAUAUUUUUGGCCAUCGAUGUAUAGUGACAUUAAUCAAUAUGUAAAAACGUGUGAAGUGUGCCAGCAGUCCAAACGCGCUUUUAAUUCAAAACCACCACCUUUACAACCACAACCAACAAAUGAUAUUUUCGGACGAUGGCAUAUGGAUAUUUUAAGUGGCCUUCCAACAACCAAAGAUAAAUACAAACAUGUUCUACUCGUAGUUGAUAGUUAUUCAAAAUGGUGUGAAGCUUUUCCGUUAAGAUCUGAAGAAGCAGGUGAAGUUGCAAAUGUGUUAUAUAGAGAAAUAAUAUCCCGUUAUGGUGCUCCUAGAACUCUUUUAUCUGACCGCGGACGUAAUUUUGUUUCAAAUUUAGUUAAAGCUCUUUCAGAACUCUUCAAUAUUAAAAGACAUCUUACAAGCUCAUACCAUCCACAGACAAAUGGUGCAUGUGAAAGAAUGAACUCUGUAAUUUUACAAGCGUUAAGAGCCUAUACAAGAGAUCAACAAGAUGAUUGGUAUGAUGUGCUACCAGGAAUUUUAAUGGCUUAUCGUGCUACACCUGCAACUCAAUCGACUGAUUAUUCACCAUUCUUUUUACUCUAUGGACGAGAAAUGACAUUACCCAUUGACACCGCGUUAAUACCAAAAGAUCGUUUGGCACAAGAUCACAAAAUAUUUUUAAGCAGAAUUCUUCAAAAUUUAGAAACUUCAAGAAAAAUAGCUGCUAAGAACAUCAAGCAAGCUCAAGAAAGAUAUAUAAACAACAAUAUGACAAAAAAUCUAAAGAACCUGAAUUUCAACCAGCUCAACGUGUUUGGCUUUAUUGUACCAAAGUUCCUGUAG